AAAUACCUAAAAUCCAAAACCUAGAGCUAGCACAAGACCUAGAUGCCUAAAAAUCCAAUCCGCCAUUUUUGAGAAAAAGGACGAUCCCAUCAGAUUUUCGUUCAUCUGCUUGAGAGUCCAAAAACCUUGGGUUUCAUCUCCUUCAUGGAAAAAGUAACCUAAACCUAAGACCCUUAAGGAUCCGUUAUGCUUCUUCCUCAACAAUAAACCAAGGAAACCCAUCUUCUUCAACGAAGGGCAGCAGCGACCAGACACCAACCAUCGCCGCCGCUGACCACUUUCUUCUUCUUCAUCUUGCCGGUGAUGACCUCCUCCAAUUCCAGCCAGCAAUCAGCUGUUGUUGAACACCAUGAACGCAUCUGAAAUAACCACCAAAUAACAGCUUCACGAAUUUCAGCCCUUCAGUCAAUCUUUUGUUCGUGGGAUUUUAUUUUCGGUGAUAUCUCAUCAAUUGUUGGUCGAGAUUCAUCGAGGUUGCUGGCGCCAUCUUCGAUUUGUGCCGAUUUUGGGAUCUAAUAUGAGAUUCCAGCAGCAGUAGUUGUCAACUUCAGUCAUCGUUGGAGAGUCGAGGUCCUUCGUUGAGUCUUGGUUGCGAUUCUUUGCUCGAAAUUGUUUCAAUUUUCGUAUUGGAUUUCAGAUCUGAGGAGUUAUACCAAAUAGAACAAGGCUAGGCCAGCAACAAGGCUGGAUAAACUUCAGUGCUCCCGGUACGUUGCCCCCUCUUUGGCUCGAGUUGUCCGCUCGGGUAAGCCAGGUCAAGAACACAACUCCAGGUUUUAAAACCUAGAAAAACACAGCCUCAUGCCGGAUCCCUAGUAGGAACAUUUGUUUGAAUCACGUGCAUUUGACUUUGAGGACUCAAUACAAGGGUUGGUCCGUCUAUGACAGGUGUACCCAAAAAUAAAAGACCAUCCUGAUGCAUCCUAUGUGCUACAUACUACAUUUCUUCCAGGGUAAAAGGGUCAUUUGGUGGACCAAUGAUGACUGAGGGUAAAUGAGGAAGAAAAGAGGGUGAAUUGUGAAAAUAAAGCAAGUAGGGCACAAUUAUUUUUUCUGUCACGUUUUGUUAAGAAAAAGACAAAAAAAAAACAUGAAAAAUUCAAUAAAAAAAAGGAUUUUGCACUUUUUCA